UGCCAGGGUACUACGAACGCAUGUUUAAAACCCAAAGGACUUGGCGGUGCUGUAAUCCAACUAGGGGAACUUGUCCCUUAAUUCGAUGACCCACGAAAAUCUUACUUACCCUAGCAAUCAGCUUAUAUACCGUCGUCUAGCCGGCCUUAGCGAGGGAAAAAAAGCUGGCAAAAAAGGUUUUCCCUAGGAAGACAGAUAAAGGUGCAGCUAAUGGGUAAAGGGAAGGAUGUGUUACAAUUAAUAAUUUGUUCAGUGGAAUCUUAAUGAAAAUUUAGGAGGAAAGAGGACUUAGAAGUAAUUCUUAUAAU
rnacentral:rRNA from 1 species